rnacentral:snRNA from 1 species
GUAUGGGACAGUGUGGCUGGGACAGAUGUCACCACACUGGUGGCCAGGUCGAUUCGGCUGAUCUGGCUGGCUGGGUGGUGUCCCCUCACCACUGCACAUGCAGCUCCUGAAGCUGCAGGCUCGGUUGAAGAGGGCAACCUUGCCCAGGAGAGGAGGAUCUUGUUCCC